rnacentral:rRNA from 1 species
ACGCUAGCUACAGGCUUAACACAUGCAAGUCGAGGGGAAACGGCAUUAAGUGCUUGCACUUUUUGGACGUCGACCGGCGCACGGGUGAGUAACGCGUAUCCAACCUUCCCAUGACUAAGGGAUAACCUGCCGAAAGGCAGACUAAUACCUUAUGGUCUUCACUGACGGCAUCAGAUGUGAAGUAAAGAUUUAUCGGUUAUGGAUGGGGAUGCGUCUGAUUAGCUUGUUGGCGGGGUAACGGCCCACCAAGGCAACGAUCAGUAGGGGUUCUGAGAGGAAGGUCCCCCACAUUGGAACUGAGACACGGUCCAAACUCCUACGGGAGGCAGCAGUGAGGAAUAUUGGUCAAUGGGCGAGAGCCUGAACCAGCCAAGUAGCGUGCAGGAAGACGGCCCUAUGGGUUGUAAACUGCUUUUGUAUGGGGAUAAAGUCAGUCACGUGUGAUUGUUUGCAGGUACCAUACGAAUAAGGACCGGCUAAUUCCGUGCCAGCAGCCGCGGUAAUACGGAAGGUCCGGGCGUUAUCCGGAUUUAUUGGGUUUAAAGGGAGCGUAGGCUGGAGAUUAAGUGUGUUGUGAAAUGUAGACGCUCAACGUCUGACUUGCAGCGCAUACUGGUUUCCUUGAGUACGCACAACGUUGGCGGAAUUCGUCGUGUAGCGGUGAAAUGCUUAGAUAUGACGAAGAACUCCGAUUGCGAAGGCAGCUGACGGGAGCGCAACUGACGCUGAAGCUCGAAGGUGCGGGUAUCGAACAGGAUUAGAUACCCUGGUAGUCCGCACAGUAAACGAUGGAUGCCCGCUGUUGGUACCUGGUAUCGGCGGCUAAGCGAAAGCAUUAAGCAUCCCACCUGGGGAGUACGCCGGCAACGGUGAAACUCAAAGGAAUUGACGGGGGCCCGCACAAGCGGAGGAACAUGUG